rnacentral:rRNA from 1 species
UACGUAGGGGGCAAGCGUUGUCCGGAUUUAUUGGGCGUAAAGGGCGCGCAGGCGGUCGAUUUAGUCGCGUGUGAAAGCCCCCGGCUCAACUGGGGAGGGUCACGCGAUACUGAUCGACUCGAAGGCAGGAGAGGGUAGUGGAAUUCCCGGUGUAGUGGUGAAAUGCGUAGAUAUCGGGAGGAACACCAGUGGCGAAGGCGACUACCUGGCCUGUUCUUGACGCUGAGGCGCGAAAGCUAGGGGAGCAAACGGG